GUCAAAACAGACCACUGGGCUCUACCAAUCAGCAGGAUGUGGGUAGGACCAGAUAAGAGAAUAAAAGCAGGCUGCCUGAGCUUGCGGUGGCAACCUGCUUGGGAACCCUGUUACACUGUGGAAGCUUUGUUCUUUUGCUCUUUGCAGUAAAUCUUGCUGCUGCUCACUCUUUGGGUCCACACUGCUUUUAUGAGCUGUGACACUCACCGUGAAGGUCUGUAGCUUCACUCUUGAAGCCAGCGAGACCACGAACCCACUGGGAGGAGAGAACAACUCCAGACGUGCCACCUUAAGAGCUGUAACACUCACUGCGAAGGUCUGCAGCUUCACUCCUGAGCCAGCAAGACCACGAACCCACCAGAAGAGCGAACACAUCCGAACAUCAGAAGGAACAAACUCCGGACACGCCACCUUUAAGAACUGUAACACUCACCACGAGGGUCUGCGGCUUCAUUCUUGAAGUCAGUGAGACCAAGAACCCACCAAUUCCAGACACAUCCUUAUUGCCUUCAUGUCUUGAUGCCCCGAGAGCAUAACAGCUCGGGGCAUGCCACGGGUGCGUGGGGAGAUAACACUCCCUUGAAGUACUGGAGUAUAAUCAAACAACUUGGCUCCUGCUGAAACCCGCUCCCACCUGUUUCGGUCCUGAAGGGGACAUUUGGAUACAGACACAGGCAUGAACAGAGGAGAGACCAUGUGAAGAGUCACAGGGAGAAUGCCAUGUGAAGACAGAGGAAUGGAAUUAUCCAUCCACAUGCAAUAAAAUGCCAAAGAUUGCCAGGAAGUCACCAGAAGCUUGGAACAGUCUGAUGGAGUCUUCCUGUGUCGCCCAGGCUGGAGUGCAGUGGUGCAAUCUCGGCUCACUGCAACCUCCGCCUCCCAGAUUCAAGUGAUUCUUCUGUCUCAGCCUCUGGAAUAGCAGGGAUUACAGGACUCUCGCUGUGUACUCCAGGCUGGAGUACAGUGGCACAAUCUAUGCUUAUGGCAACCUCUACCUCCAGGGUUCAAGCGAUUCUCCCGCCUCAGCUUCCCAAGUAGCUGGAAUUACAGGUUUUGUUAUGACUGAUUUGAUUAGAAGUAACAGAUUGAGUCUGGUUGAGAAGAAAGAGAAAUUUAAUAUUGCCAUGCAAGAUUGUUGUAUCCUUGGAUCACAUACAAAAAACCAUCCAUGUAAGACAUGACUUGCUGUUCCUUGCCUUCUGCCAUGAUUGUGAGGCUUCCCCAGCCACGUGGAACCAUUGUUCCUGUCCCCACCUCCAGGAACAAACAGCACAGUUCAAGGAUGUCUUUAUUAAAAAAACUGACGUACUUUCCAAGGUGUUUACUUCUCUUCCUGGUCAAGAGUUAAAGUGGCACUAAGUUAUAAUAAAAUGUGUUUUGUUUGUUGUCUAACUUAUUUUAAUAAAGCACAAGUCCUAUAUAUUUUAUAUCUAUGUUCUAUGUUCAAGGGAUGCCACUUUGUUAUCUACAAAGCCUUCGAAAAAUUUGAAGUUAGAGAAUGAAAUGAAACUCUAGCUGCAAUUUCAUAAUCAUUCAAAGCAGUACAAUAAUGGAAAGAAAAAACUAAGCUGAGGCUUUAUUCUAGCUCAGUGCUAUUCAAAGUGUGGUUCGUGGAUUAUUGCUAGUCCACAAACAAUUUGUUAUUGCACUAACAUAAGAAAAGAAAUUGAAAGUAAUCAUCUGGAAAUGUCUAUAGUAAUUUGACAGCUGCUUGUGGCAAAAUAGUCUUACUAGACACCAGCAGUAGGAUCACGUUUUAAUUUGUAAUAUUUUAAGGUCACUUUGGCAACUAUACCUUAAAAGCAUAUAAAAUCUGGUAUUUAUUUCUGACAUAGACACGUCAAUCAAUUAUAAUUAAAUAAGAAAAUUAUUUCAACUAAAUAGAAGAUAAAGAUGAAUUGUGAAAAUUCAGCAACACUUGCCUCAUUUUGUUUAAAAUUUCAAAAUGAAUAUCACAAUAUUGCUAUAAAAUCACUCCCAUUAUUCAUCAAUAUAUUUCUAUGAGAAUAAGCAGUCUAAUAUGUGAGUUAUUAAAACAAAUCAUUUCUAGAUAGAUAUGUUUCUUUUAUAGGACUGGUGCUGUCAUUGACCUAACAGAUAAGUUAACAAGCAAGAUUUCAUACACAUUUGAGUUAUAGUUGUCACACUAUAUGCACAUGUUAGAUAAAUACUGUGCAUAUCAAUAUUUUGAGUAUUAGUGUGACAAAUGGGCCUAUCCAGUGUGUGUAUAGAGGUGUUUAAUGUGGAGACUCAUUGAUUUUUUUAAUUAUGACUAUAGAAAGCAAAAUGUAUCAGUUAUGAAAAUGAUUAUAUUAAUCACUGUUUGCCUACUUUCUGUGUUCAAUAUGUAAAAUAAAAUUUUAUACUUAUUUCUUCUUAUUCUUAUUUGUACUGCAUAUAUUUAAUGUUUCUAUGUCUCUUGCAUCUAAUAAAAAUGAAUGUAAAUGUAUAUGUCUUCGUUGUUUUUAAUUUUAUUUUUCUAGUACUUUAUUGCAUUUUACAAAAUCAUUUUCCCAUUAUGACUUGGAAGGCAGGGUUUAGUGAUUAUUCACCACAGAAGGUUUGGGGAAUACUGAACUUGGUGAAAAUUUCAUAAGUAAAAUUGAAGAUUAACAAAUAGUAAGGUAUAAGGAGAGAUAAAAAGGUG
rnacentral:lncRNA from 1 species